rnacentral:rRNA from 1 species
AGCAGCAGCCGCGGGAAUACGGAGGGUGCAAGCGUUAAUCGGAAUUACUGGGCGUAAAGCGUGCGUAGGCGGUUCGUUAAGUCUGUUGUGAAAGCCCCGGGCUCAACCUGGGAAUGGCAAUGGAUACUGGCGAGCUAGAGUGUGUCAGAGGAUGGUGGAAUUCCCGGUGUAGCGGUGAAAUGCGUAGAGAUCGGGAGGAACAUCAGUGGCGAAGGCGGCCAUCUGGGACAACACUGACGCUGAGGCACGAAAGCGUGGGGAGCAAACAGGAUUAGAUACCCGGGUAGUCCCUGUCUCUUAUAC